UACGUAGGGCGCGAGCGUUGUCCGGAGUUACUGGGCGUAAAGGGCUUGUAGGCGGCCGGUCGCGUCCGCCGUGAAAUCCCCUGGCUCAACCGGGGGCGUGCGGUGGGUACGGGCCGGCUUGAGUGCGGUAGGGGAGGCUGGAACUCCUGGUGUAGCGGUGGAAUGCGCAGAUAUCAGGAAGAACACCGGUGGCGAAGGCGGGUCUCUGGGCCGUUACUGACGCUGAGGAGCGAGAGCGUGGGGAGCGAACAGG
rnacentral:rRNA from 2 species